rnacentral:rRNA from 1 species
CUAUACAUGCAGUCGAGCGGACAGAAGGGAGCUUGCUCCCGGAUGUUAGCGGCGGACGGGUGAGUAACACGUGGGUAACCUGCCUGUAAGACUGGGAUAACUCCGGGAAACCGGAGCUAAUACCGGAUAGUUCCUUGAACCGCAUGGUUCAAGGAUGAAAGACGGUUUCGGCUGUCACUUACAGAUGGACCCGCGGCGCAUUAGCUAGUUGGUGAGGUAACGGCUCACCAAGGCGACGAUGCGUAGCCGACCUGAGAGGGUGAUCGGCCACACUGGGACUGAGACACGGCCCAGACUCCUACGGGAGGCAGCAGUAGGGAAUCUUCCGCAAUGGACGAAAGUCUGACGGAGCAACGCCGCGUGAGUGAUGAAGGUUUUCGGAUCGUAAAGCUCUGUUGUUAGGGAAGAACAAGUGCAAGAGUAACUGCUUGCACCUUGACGGUACCUAACCAGAAAGCCACGGCUAACUACGUGCCAGCAGCCGCGGUAAUACGUAGGUGGCAAGCGUUGUCCGGAAUUAUUGGGCGUAAAGGGCUCGCAGGCGGUUUCUUAAGUCUGAUGUGAAAGCCCCCGGCUCAACCGGGGAGGGUCAUUGGAAACUGGGAAACUUGAGUGCAGAAGAGGAGAGUGGAAUUCCACGUGUAGCGGUGAAAUGCGUAGAGAUGUGGAGGAACACCAGUGGCGAAGGCGACUCUCUGGUCUGUAACUGACGCUGAGGAGCGAAAGCGUGGGGAGCGAACAGGAUUAGAUACCCUGGUAGUCCACGCCGUAAACGAUGAGUGCUAAGUGUUAGGGGGUUUCCGCCCCUUAGUGCUGCAGCUAACGCAUUAAGCACUCCGCCUGGGGAGUACGGUCGCAAGACUGAAACUCAAAGGAAUUGACGGGGGCCCGCACAAGCGGUGGAGCAUGUGGUUUAAUUCGAAGCAACGCGAAGAACCUUACCAGGUCUUGACAUCCUCUGACAACCCUAGAGAUAGGGCUUUCCCUUCGGGGACAGAGUGACAGGUGGUGCAUGGUUGUCGUCAGCUCGUGUCGUGAGAUGUUGGGUUAAGUCCCGCAACGAGCGCAACCNUUGAUCUUAGUUGCCAGCAUUCAGUUGGGCACUCUAAGGUGACUGCCGGUGACAAACCG